GCAUUCAGGUAAUCGCUGCACAUCUUUACAUGUGUAGAGGAAAGUCCAUGCUCGCACGGGCUGCGAUGCCCGUAGUGUUCGUGCCUAGCCAAUUCAUAAGCUAGGGUAGUCUGGUUUCGACUGGAUUAACGGCAAGGGAAGCACCUAAGUCAUUCUGAUAUGGUGUGAUACCUUUGAAAGUGCCACAGUGACGUAGUCCAUUUGGAAACAAAUGGAGUGGAACGCGGUAAACCCCUCGAGCGAGAAACCCAAAUAUGGUAGGGGCAUCUUCUCAUGAAGGAAUUGAACAGACGAGAAGGACAGGGAGCAUCCCUGUAGAUAGAUGGUUACCACCGGAGUACGAGGCUCAUCACCGAUUGUAGUACAAAGGUACAGAACAUGGCUUAUCGAA
rnacentral:RNase_P_RNA from 1 species